GAAGUAAGAGAGAACUUCAUUCAUGCAAGACAGAAAGCUGGGGACCUCAUCUGUCAAUCAAGUCACUUCCUGUGAGGAGGACAUUAUCUUGGAAGUUGACGAUGGAGGAGCUUGGGCUUGAGAUCUCAGACUGCUUCUCCUUGGACUUCCAUGUGCAACUCAAUGAUCUGGGACUAUCCUGAAUGACAUGACAAGGAAUGCUAUCCACCUCCAGAGAAAGAACUGUUAACAUUGUCUUUCACAUCAGUGUAUUUGUGAUUUUAUUUUGGAGUUUUGGUUAGGUACUAUUCUACUCUUAUACCAAAGACCAA
rnacentral:lncRNA from 1 species